AGAUGCUAUACAGUGGGAAAACCAGCCUGGCAACAUAAGCUCACAAGCUAUCAGAAAGUUGUAUGGCAACCACCUCCGGCGCCAAAUAGAACUGGCAGACAUAGACAUUCAGUACAAGAAGAAAAAGAUGGAAAAUCUUGCACUGGAGUCCGAAAUAAAAAAGAGGACAAUUAGGAAACUGGACCUUGAAAUAAAAAAAACUUGAGAGGGAGCUCCAAGAAGAUGACACAGCUCAAAAUAAAAAUUAGCAAUCAGUACAACCAAGUCAUCGUUAUAAGG